rnacentral:tRNA from 1 species
GCCCCCGUGGCGGAACUGGUAGACGCGACGGACUCAAAAUCCGUUGUCCGCAAGGACGUGCCUGUUCGACUCAGGCCGGGGGCACCA